UAUGGCCAUAUCAGAUUAAAACAUUUGGUUCUCAUACAAUCACCAAAGUUAAGCAAUGUUAAGCCUGGUCAGUAUCUAGAUGGGUGACCACUUGGGAAUAGCAGGUGCUGUAAG